rnacentral:rRNA from 1 species
GUCUUUUUGAUUAUAAUUUAAAGUCUGGCCUGCCCGAUGAUAUUAUUUCAAUGGCCGCGGUAUUUUGACCGUGCAAAGGUAGCAUAAUCAUUAGUUUUUUGAUUGAAAGCUGGUAUGAAUGGCUGGACGAGAAAAUUACUGUCUCAAUUUAAUUUAAUUAGAAUUUUAUUUUUAAGUUAAAAAGCUUAAAUAUAUUUAAAAGACGAGAAGACCCUAUAGAGUUUAAUAUUUAUUUAAAUAUAGUUAUUUAUAAUUAAUUUUUUUUAAAUAAAUAUUUUAUUGGGGUGAUAAAUAAAUUUAAUAAACUUUAUUUAUUUGUUCACAUAGAUUUAUGAGUUUGUGAUCCAUUAUUAAUGAUUAUAAGAUUAAAUUACCUUAGGGAUAACAGCGUAAUUUUUUUAGAGAGUUCAAAUCGAAAAAAAAGAUUGCGACCUCGAUGUUGGAUUAAAGUUAAUUUCUGGUGUAGUAGCUGGAAUAUUGAGUCUGUUCGACUUUUAAAACUUUACAUGAUCUGAGUUUAAACCGGCGUGAGCCAGGUUGGUUUCUAUCUUUAAAUAAUUAAAAUAUUUUAGUACGAAAGGACCAAAUAUUUAUAAUAUUUAUUAAAUUAGAAUAA